rnacentral:rRNA from 1 species
CCUACGGGAGGCUGCAGUGGGGAAUUUUGGGCAAUGGGGGCAACCCUGACCCAGCGACGCCGCGUGAAGGACGAAGGCCUUCGGGUUGUAAACUUCUUUGGGGAGGGACGAAACUGACGGUACCUCCAGAACAAGCCACGGCUAACUACGUGCCAGCAGCCGCGGUAAUACGUAGGUGGCAAGCGUUAUCCGGAUUUACUGGGUGUAAAGGGCGCGCAGGCGGCCUCGCAAGUCAGAUGUGAAAGCUCAAGGCUUAACCUUGGAAUGUCAUCUGAAACUGCGGGACUUGAGUAUCAGAGGGGAAAGUGGAAUUCCUGGUGGAGCGGUAAAAUGCGCAGAGAUCAGGAGGAACACCGGUGGCGAAGGCGACUUUCUGGCUGACAACUGACGCUGAGGCGCGAAAGCGUGGGGAGCAAACAGGAUUAGAUACCCGUGUAGUC